rnacentral:rRNA from 1 species
CCUACCGAUUGGGUAAUGCGGUGAAAAUACUGGAUGUUUUGUUGUCUCUUUUUGAGGGGCAGGAGAAUAGAAAGUAAUUGAACCUUAAUAUCUAGAGGAAGGAGAAGUCGUAACAAGGUA